AUUGAACGCUGGCGGCAUGCCUUACACAUGCAAGUCGAACGGCAGCACGGACUUCGGUCUGGUGGCGAGUGGCGAACGGGUGAGUAAUGUAUCGGAACGUACCUUUUCAGUGGGGGAUAACGUAGCGAAAGUUACGCUAAUACCGCAUAUUCUGUGAGCAGGAAAGCAGGGGAUCGCAAGACCUUGCGCUGAUUGAGCGGCCGAUAUCAGAUUAGCUAGUUGGUGAGGUAAAGGCUCACCAAGGCGACGAUCUGUAGCGGGUCUGAGAGGAUGAUCCGCCACACUGGAACUGAGACACGGUCCAGACUCCUACGGGAGGCAGCAGUGGGGAAUUUUGGACAAUGGGGGCAACCCUGAUCCAGCCAUGCCGCGUGAGUGAAGAAGG
rnacentral:rRNA from 1 species